CGAUUUGAUCAUGGCUCAGAUUGAACGCUGGCGGAAUGCUUUACACAUGCAAGUCGAGCGGCAGCGCGGGGCAACCUGGCGGCGAGCGGCGAACGGGUGAGUAAUGUAUCGGAACGUACCCAGUCGUGGGGGAUAACUAUCCGAAAGGAUAGCUAAUACCGCAUACGUCCUGAGGGAGAAAGCGGGGGAUCGCAAGACCUCGCGCGAUUGGAGCGGCCGAUAUCGGAUUAGCUAGUUGGUGAGGUAAAGGCUCACCAAGGCGACGAUCCGUAGCUGGUCUGAGAGGACGACCAGCCACACUGGAACUGAGACACGGUCCAGACUCCUACGGGAGGCAGCAGGUGGGGUAAUUUUGGACAAUGGGGGCAACCCUGAUCCAGCCAUUCCGCGUGAGUGAAGAAGGCCUUCGGGUUGUAAAGCUCUUUCGGCAGGAACGAAACGGUGGGCUCUAACAUAGCCUGCUAAUGACGGUACCUGAAGAAGAAGCACCGGCUAACUACGUG
rnacentral:rRNA from 1 species